rnacentral:lncRNA from 1 species
GGGGAAAGAUAUGGAGCUCACAUUUCCUGCCGUCUGCCAGGGAAGACUUUGGAAGUAAAGAGCCCGCUGUUCUUAUCUACAGAUCCUGGACUUGAGCUGCAACCCCCACCUGGAUUUCCAGCCUCCAGCCAGCCCUGCUCACUUCAGACUGGCCAGCCCCCACAAUCCAAACUGAUGGCCCCGGGACACUUACUGAACUUGCUUCACUAUUGAAAACUUCACUGCACCUUGAGGACAGUUCUGAAAUGACUAGGCUCUUUUGCGUCUUUUUUUUGAGGGGGGCAGUCAGAGCGAAGCUUCACAGCCCCUUUUCAUCAUACAUUAUUUAAACUAAUGAGAGGUUACCUUCCUCCUCCCACUCCUAUAAUCUACCUAUUGCUUCUCCUUCUUUCUCCUCUUAGUUCAUUCGAGGCCUUUAUCCAUGAGCUAGAGGGGGGAACUUCUUGGGAAAGGUCAACUCUACGGGAUUUUUGCAAUAGUGUUUCUCUCUUCUCUACAACUAUCAGAGCCACUCUUUCUAGGUCCCAAG